rnacentral:rRNA from 1 species
UAAUACGGAGGGCGCAAGCGUUGUUCGGAAUUAUUGGGCGUAAAGCGCGUGUAGGUGGCUUGGUAAGUUGGAUGUGAAAGCCCGGGGCCCAACCCCGGAAUUGCAUUCAAAACUCCCAGGCUAGAGUCCCGGAGAGGAUGGCGGAAUUCCCGGUGUAGAGGUGAAAUUCGUAGAUAUCGGGAGGAACACCAGUGGCGAAGGCGGCCAUCUGGACGGUGACUGACACUGAGACGCGAAAGCGUGGGGAGCAAACAGGAUUAGAUACCCUGGUAGUCCACGCCGUAAACGUUGUGUGCUAGGUGUCGCGGGUAUUGACCCCUGCGGUGCCGACGUUAACGCAUUUAGCACACCGCCUGGGGAGUACGGUCGCAAGGCUA